rnacentral:rRNA from 1 species
UACGAAGGGGGCUAGCGUUGUUCGGAAUUACUGGGCGUAAAGCGUACGUAGGCGGUCCGGUAAGUCCGCUGUGAAAGUCGGGGGGCUCAACCCUCGGAUGCCGGUGGAUACUGUCGGGCUUGAGUACGGAAGAGGCGAGUGGAAUUCCUGGUGUAGCGGUGAAAUGCGUAGAUAUCGGGAGGAACACCAGUGGCGAAGGCGGCUACCUGGCCCACUCUUGACGCUGAGGCGCGAAAGCUAGGGGAGCAAACGGG